CGCCUCGCCGCAGGGCGCCCCCGCGUGGGGCCUCCGUUCUCGGUCUGUGCCGAGCGCCUACGCGGUGCUGGUCGCUGGUCUGGGCGCCUGGGAAGCAGCCGCGAACCGGACAGAUUCCUGCUUACGAUGAAAGAAACAGACAAAAGUAAGUCUUGCUGCUGCUCACUCUUUGGGGUCACAGUGCCUUUAUGAGCUGUAACACUCAACCGCGAAGAUUUGCAGCUUCACUCCUGAAGCCAGUGAGAUUACGAGCCCACUGGCAGGAUGAACAACUCCAGACGCGCGGCGCCUUAAGAGCUGUAACACCGCGAAGGUCUGUAGCUUCAUUCCUGAGCUAGCGAGAGCGCGAACCUACCAGAAGGAAGAAACUCCGAACACAUCGGAACAUCAGAACGAGCAAACUCCGGACACCCCGCCUUUAGGAACUGCAACACUCACCGCGAGGGUCCGUGGCUUCAUUCUUGAAGUCAGUGAGACCAAGAACUCACCAAUUCCGGACACAACAGGAUCUACGGUCACAGAAACUCCCACCGGAAGUUUUCCGCCCCUCGGCACGGACACCUGGGCUUCCUGCCCCAUAAGAGGAGCCACCGGCACCGGGGCAAGGUGAAGACGUGGCCGCGGGAUGACCCCAGCCAGCCCGUGCACCUCACGGCCUUCCUGGGCUACAAGGCGGGCAUGACCCACACCCUGCGGGAGGUGCACCGGCCGGGGCUCAAAAUUUCCAAACGGGAGGAGGUGGAGGCGGUGACAAUUGUAGAAACGCCGCCCCUAGUGGUGGUGGGCGUGGUGGGCUACGUGGCCACC
rnacentral:lncRNA from 1 species